CAUAAAACCUAAGCAUAUACCACAUGCAAAGCUCUAUGUUACAUAAGGGAUGAAGAAGGCUGUGGUAGACCUUCUGUGGCCACAAAUUUGGUAUUUAUCUGGUGUCUGUAUUCACAUAGUACCCUCAAUUCACUUUUGCUAUGUCCUCUUUCUGUUCCUGAAUCUCCACUACAGUGUGGGAAUAUAGGCAUUGCCCUGAUACCCAGAGCUUUCAAGCAUCUUUGCAAAGUCUUCCCAUCAAUGUGGAAUGUCGUUUUGGCCCCAUCUUCUCUCUCCCUGAAUCUAGUUUGCAGCAAUUGAAUGGUCCCCUGGUGAUUCACUGGGUGCUAUUUCGUUUGUUCCGUCAGCUGUUUAUUAAUCUGUAACUUCCUGUUAAAAUGCAGGGUGUGCUUUUUUAAGAAGCCUUACACAGCAUAAGUUUUAUUUUGGGACCGGACACACUAUUAUAUAAAGAGGAUCUGUGAGUGUUACUUGGUCUCAUAAGCUAUUUUUUUUUUUUUUCAACAAAAUGUUGUGAGCACCUACCGUGUGCCAGGCAGUGUUCUGUGAACUGGUUGUACAGGAGUGAACGAGAUCACCUUAAUUUUGAGAAGUUUAUCAUCUACUCAAGGGAAACACGUGUAAUAAACUACAUUUCAGACAUAAUCCCUCAAAACCAAAGUGGAACCUCUUCAAGGAGCUGGCAGAUGCAAGCCUGAUUAAUUUCUUCACCUUCCUCUCCCAGCAACAGCCAUUAUCAAGAAUCUGGUAUGUAUUCCUUUAUGUUUUUGUACUCUUCCUACAUGUAUAUGUAUGUAAAAGAAUACAUAGUUAUGCCUUGCAUAUUUAAAAUUUUUAUCUAAUGCUGUCAUGUUGCACAUGUUCUUCCACUCUCUGUCUCCUUCAAUAUUAUUUUUUAAAAAUCUAUUCAUAUUAAUACAUACAGAUGCAGUUCACCUGUUUUAACUAUUGACUGUGCUCUAUCAUAUGAAAAUAUCACAGUUUAUUCAUCUAUCCUGUUACAAUGAAGAUUCAGGUUGUUUCUAAUUUUUGCUAAUACAAAUGAUGUUGUAAUAAGCUUAGAGAUAUGUCUCAGUAUGUAAAGUUACUACACCUAGAAUUGAAAUGAAUGGGUUGCAGAGAAUGCUCAUUUUCUACUUUAGUAAUAUUGAUAAAUUGUUGUUCCAAUUUACACUCCUUCCAGAAAUACAUGAAAAUUUCUCAUUUCCAUAUCCUUGUCAAUUCUUGAUAUCACCAGACUUUUAAAGUGCAGCCAAAUUUAGGGUAUGAAAUGUUACCUUGUUUUAACUUUCAUUUCCCAGACUACUAGUUAGAUUGGUCAUUGUGUUAGUGUACAAGCUAAGCAGCUGUAACAAAGAGACCUCCAGACAUAGUAAUCUAGGCAAGAAUUUAAAUAAAAGAGAUAUUUUUCUUACUUAAUCUUAUGUUGGACAGUCCAGGCUGGCAAGAGGGCUCUGCUCCACACAGUCACUCAGGGAUCCUUCCGUUUGUUACACUGCUAUCCCUUAGGUCAUCAGUCUUUUCUUCAACUUCCUGGUUGAAGUCAGGUUGUUGCCACAUACCAGCUUUUGGAAAAAAUUUCAGGGAAAGCAAUUUUCUUGCAGACAAAUAAGGCAGAAGUUCCACACAUCCCUUCUACUUGAAUUUCAUUGGCGAGAACUUAGUCUCAUGAAUAGGAAAUACAUGUCUCUAGCUGGGCAGCCAUGUCCAGGAAGAAGGAGGCAAUUGAGAAAGUGCUAGCAUUCCUUCCCAAGCAGAUAUUUGUUGGCUUUUGGGGUUUCCUCUUCCAUGACUCAGCUGGUAAUACAUUGUGCCCAUUUUAAUUUUGCUUUUUUUCUUAUUGUUUCAUAGGAAGCCUUCAUAUGCUCUAGAUUUGAUUACUUAUUUAUACAAGAAUUUUGAUUAUUUAAAUGUACCAGUAUAUAUACCUCAAUAAAGCUAUUCCAAAAUAUUCUCAUUUGUGACUUAAGCCAUAUCAUAUUCUUUAGAUAAAUUAAUAUUUCUUUUGUAAAGUGAAUAAAAUUACCGCAUCCCAAUUUUCUCUUUUCCAGAAAUAUAAUUUUACCUACUAACUUAAGAAAAAUUAUAGUUUCAUGAAAAUUUCUUUAGGCUGAUUUAAGUUGCUUAAAGUUAAAACAAGCAAAAAAAAUGUGGUUUCUUUGGUACUAUUGAACUCUCCAAGAAUAUUUGACAAUCUGUAUGAGAUUGUGGUGAUUUUUUUGACCACUCUGAAUUUCAGUUUUCUCAACUGCAAGUGUGAUAUUAAAUGCAGAGAAAAUGCUCUGUGGAAUGCCAAGUUUUUAAUUGUUAGGAAUUAGAAUUGCAAAUAGUAUUUCAAUAGCAUGCAGAAGAUUUCAUUUAAAAUGUCAAUAUCCUGUUUUCAGUUUUACUGUUAUAUUCUAUAUACCGUUAAACAGAUAUUCCAUACUCUGUGUCAGGGGCUGACAUUUGACAGUCACUGCCAUCUCUGGGUGUGUGUGUGCACAUGUGUGUGUAGGUGUGGUUGGAAUCACAGCCAUGUGCCCAGCCACAUCUAUGUGAGUCAAGACUCCCCUGAGAGCUGCCGUUAUUUUGAGCUGCUCCGUUCCUAAUGGCAACCUGAGAGGCUGGCUUUCCAGCCUGUUUUCAAGCAGUUCUCAGCUAAGCCACAUCACUGCAAGUGAUGCCUCAGAAUUUCUAUUGCUGCUUCAGACCAGUCCAGCUUGGCAUUCAUCACUGCCUUCCCCGGGCAGUUCUCAGUUUCCUGCAUGUCUCAUCCUGCCUGUCACACCAAGUGACAGCCUGUUAUAGUUGGGUGGGCAACACUAAAUGGCUGCUCCGUGGUUCAGCCCCACCCAUCAGUCCCUUUCCUGAGCAUCUCUGCUCUAGCACCGCCCUUCAUGGGGAGCCACAGGCUUUGCCGAGGAAAAAGAGGGCUGAUAGAGAUACAGAGAGAAACAGGAAUGCCCUGAGGUGUGAUUUUUAUGUUAUUGGUGAUAAACGAUCUAUAAAAUGUUAGAAAGGAGAAUUUAGCAACAUGGUGAAGAAGGGAGUUCUUUAAAGAGGAUAAAGAAAAAGCUUCAUAAUUUUGUUAAUAUGCUUGAAUUUAAUUUAAAAAUAAGGACAGUAGUACUCUUGUACCAAAAUGCAGAACAAUUAUUUCACGCUUUGUAACCCAGCCCUGUAGGUGUUAGGAAUGGCCCUGUGAGGAAGAGGAAGGGAACUGAAGUAACUAUGUGGUGGCCAGGGUCAGGAAAUUAGCAGAGUCAGGGUCUGUGUCCUCCCUCCUACCAAGGAGGGUAUUAGCACUGACUCAUUUCAUUAACAUUUAUUGAGCAACUUCUAUAUGCCAAGAGUUAUCCUGCCUGCUGGGAUACAGCAGAAACUGAAACAAAUGAGGUUAAAUCUUUUAUAUCUGGGAUUUUACUGCUUUCAUGGAACUUAUAUUGGGAUGACAGAGCAUGGAAGAGGUUAAUGGCCAGAAACACAUGGAAAGGCACAUGAUAAUUAAAAUAAAUAAACAAAUAGUUACAUAUCAGUUACUGGUAAAUGCUAAGUGUCAUAGUCCAUUUUGUGUUGCUAUAAUAGAAAACCAUAGAUGGCAAUUUAUUUAAAAAGGAAAUCUAUUCUUCACAGUUCUGCACCCUGGAGAGUCCAUUAUCAAGGUGGGGGCAUCUGGUGAGGGCCUUCCUCCUACAUCAUUUUAUGGCAGAAGGUGAACAGGUCAGAGUUUGCGAGUGCGAGUGAGCAGGAAGGGGCCAGACUUACUGUGAUAACAAGCCCACUCGAGAUAACUAACCCACUCCUGUGGUAAUGACAUUGAUCCGUGAGGACGCUGCCUUCAUGAUCUCAUCAUCUCUUAUUUAUCCCCACCUCCCAACACUGUUGCAUUGGGGAUUACAUUUACAACACGUGAACUUUAGGGGACACCUUUAAACCAUAGCACUGUGUAACUAUUUUUAAAAAGUGAUGUCAAAGCAACUGAGGUCAUCAAAGAAGAUGUUUCUGAAAAAAAAAAAUGUAAGCUGCUAUAGAUCAAAUGCUUAUGAUCUAUAGCACACCCCCUCCCACAUACACA